CUACGAGUGGUCAGCCCUUCCACCCACAUUUGUUGUUUUCUAGGACACAGUUAGUUUGAUUGGCUGUCAAUUUGAUAAGGGUCUGUGGUAACACACAUAAACCAAUCACGGAGUAGUGGCUUGGAUGCUGCCAAGAAGAUAUGCAGACGACAGACGAGUCGAGGGCGAAAUACAGUAGGCCUAUUAUUGGCCAUUUCCAGGUGGUGCGUGGAUCACGUUGGAUUAACAGGCACCAUAUUAAGUGCUUUCUCUCCACCACUGGCCAAGGCAUUCAUACAGCUGCUUGGCAUUUUCGAAAGCUGUUUCAUAUGAAGAGGAAACUGAUAACCAUACAUUGAAAAUCCAGAUACUAUGUCUAGCGCCCUCUGUGGCCAAAAAUGCAUUCCCAG